rnacentral:rRNA from 1 species
CCCUUAGAUGUUCUGGGCCGCACGCGCGCUACAAUGGUCUUCGCAAACGGAUGCAUUCUCGAAGGAGAAUGCCAAUCUUGGAAUCUAUGCCUUGGUCGGGACAGUUGCUUGCAAUUUUUCGACUCGAACCAGGAAUUCCUUGUAAUCGUGAUUCAUCACAUCACGAUGAAUACGUCCCUGCCCUUUGCACACACCGCCCGUCGCUCCUACCGAUCGAAGAGUUAGGUGAAUUGUUUUGAUCGAUAAGAUUUGACUAUGGUCAACUCUCGUUGUGAAAUUCUGUGAAUCUGACUGUUUAGAGGAAGGAAAAGUCGUAACA